rnacentral:rRNA from 1 species
UAACGACUCUCGGCAACGGAUAUUUUGGCUCUUGCAUCGAUGAAGAACGUAGCGAAAUGCGAUACUUGGUGUGAAUUGCAGAAUCCCGUGAACCAUCGAGUCUUUGAACGCAAGUUGCGCCCGAAGCCUUCCGGCCGAGGGGCACGUCUUCCUGGGCGUCACG